rnacentral:rRNA from 1 species
GUGGGGAAUAUUGGGCAAUGGGCGAAAGCCUGACCCAGCAACGCCGCGUGAGGGAAGAAGGCCUUCGGGUUGUAAACCUCUGUCCUUGGUGACGAAAAAAAUGACGGUAGCCAAGGAGGAAGCCCCGGCUAACUACGUGCCAGCAGCCGCGGUAAUACGUAGGGGGCGAGCGUUGUCCGGAAUUACUGGGCGUAAAGGGUGCGUAGGUGGCCUGUUAAGUUGGAUGUGAAAUACCCGGGCUUAACUUGGGGAGUGCAUCUAAUACUGGAGGGCUAGAGUGCAGGAGAGGGAAGCGGAAUUCCUAGUGUAGCGGUGAAAUGCGUAGAUAUUAGGAGGAACACCAGUGGCGAAGGCGGCUUUCUGGACUGUAACUGACACUGAGGCACGAAAGCGUGGGGAGCAAACAGGAUUAGAUACCCUUGUAGUCC